rnacentral:rRNA from 1 species
GACGAACGCUGGCGGCGUGCUUAACACAUGCAAGUCGAACGGAAAGGCCCUGCUUGCAGGGUGCUCGAGUGGCGAACGGGUGAGUAACACGUGGGUGAUCUGCCCCUUACUUUGGGAUAAGCCUGGGAAACUGGGUCUAAUACUGGAUAGGACCAUGCUGUAGGUGGUGUGGUGGAAAGAUUAGUUUCGGUAAGGGAUGAGCUCGCGGCCUAUCAGCUUGUUGGUGGGGUAAUGGCCUACCAAGGCGUCGACGGGUAGCCGGCCUGAGAGGGUGGACGGCCCCAUUGGGACGCGGAUACGGCCCAGACUCCUACGGGAGGCAGCAGUGGGGAAUAUUGCACAAUGGGCGCAAGCCUGAUGCGGCGACGCCGCGUGGGGGAUGACGGCCUUCGGGUUGUAAACUCCUUUCAGCCAUGACGAAGCCUUCGGGUGACGGUAGUGGGAGAAGAAGCACCGGCUAACUACGUG